rnacentral:rRNA from 1 species
AGAGUUUGAUCAUGGCUCAGAUUGAACGCUGGCGGAAUGCUUUACACAUGCAAGUCGAACGGCAGCACGGACUUCGGUCUGGUGGCGAGUGGCGAACGGGUGAGUAAUAUAUCGGAACGUGCCCAGUCGUGGGGGAUAACGUAGUGAAAAUUACGCUAAUACCGCAUACGAUCUAUGGAUGAAAGCGGGGGAUCGCAAGACCUCGCGCGAUUGGAGCGGCCGAUAUCAGAUUAGGUAGUUGGUGAGGUAAAGGCUCACCAAGCCAACGAUCUGUAGCUGGUCUGAGAGGACGACCAGCCACACUGGAACUGAGACACGGUCCAGACUCCUACGGGAGGCAGCAGUGGGGAAUUUUGGACAAUGGACGCAAGUCUGAUCCAGCCAUUCCGCGUGCAGGACGAAGGCCUUCGGGUUGUAAACUGCUUUUGUACAGAACGAAAAGGUUUCUAUUAAUACUAGGAGCUCAUGACGGUACUGUAAGAAUAAGCACCGGCUAACUACGUGCCAGCAGCCGCGGUAAU